ensembl:lincRNA
CCAUCUGCAGUGAUUUUGGAGCCCCAAAAAAUAAAGUCUGACACUGUUUCCACUGUUUCCCCAUCUAUUUCCCAUGAAGUGAUGAGACCAGAUGCCAUGAUCUUGUUUUCUGAAUGUUGAGCUUUAGGCCAACUUUUUCACUCUCCCCUUUCACUUUCAUCGAGAGGCUUUUUAGUUCCUCCUUGCUUUCUGCCAUAAGGGUGGUGUCAUCUGCAUAUCUGAGUUUAUCAGGGCAUAAGUUCAAGAGCUGCAGCUUCCGUGGGAGCCAGAACUGUAAUUGAGGAACUGCUGUCAGCUCAGAGUGGACAAAACUCAGGUUCCUAAUGGACCUGGUCAUAGCAGGGCCCCCACGCUUUUCUAACUCCAGGACCUCGAACAGGAUGUCAGUUGUAAGUAGCGGAGAAAAAUCCCCUUGUGCUUCUGAUGGGAGGCAGGGGAAAGGAACCACUUUGAUAGACAGCAGAGCAUUCUUUCUUAACAGGGUCUACCCUCAGGUGAAACUAUUUCAUCAGAGCCUAAGUGACCCAGAGGAAGAGGAGUACCCAACCCCAGCCCACUCUAGCCAUGCUGUCCUGUCUUAUCAAAAAGGUGCAGGCAAAAAGGAUGCAGACUCUGUACAUUUGCCUCAUCAUCUACAGCAGCUGGCGAGAACAACCUUGGUGUGGAGCUGCGGAGGUGGGGGAGAUGGUCGUGGCUCCCCCAGUGGGUGGAAAGGAGAGGGGCAUGGGAAAGAGCCUGAAUCAGACCCUUCCCAAUCCACCUGGAGAAGUUUCUCCUCGCACUUCUCUGAACACACCCCACUUCCAUCACUGGGGAGGAUGGGGUGGUGCUCCUGUUGGGGACAAGUUGCAUCUGGUUAACUUAAGGCUAACUUUCCAUUACCCCUUCUGACACCCCUUAUCACCACUUUGCUAAAGGCUUGUGGAUAUCAGUUCCUUUUACCCCAUACACCCUGUCUGGCUAUCAAGAAAAAAUAACAAAUGUAUACUAAAGUAAUUAACCUCCAAUUAAAAUAAAUAAAUGUAUUUUUUUAAAGGCAAAAAAAAAAAAAACUCCACAAUUGGAAGACACAGAGCAAGCAUCGGAACAAGAUACAGCAGCAAUUUUGGAAUUAUCACCCCAUUUAAAACAACUCUGAUGAAUAUGCUAAGGUCUCACAUGGACAAAAGAGCACGCAAGAAUAGAUGGGAAAGAAAAUAGAUGACCAACAUAAAACAAAGAGAUGGAAAUCCUAAAUGGAAUAAAAGAAAUGCUAGAAAUCAAAAAACCCCAUAACAGAAAUGAAGAAUCCCUCUGAGGGGUUUAUUCAUAGACUGGACACAGCUGGGAGAUGCAUAUUGUGCUAUUUAGGGGUGAGUUGUAACAUGUCUGUAAGUUACUUUAAAAUACUUCAGACAAAACAGAUGAAGCAAAUAUGGGAAAAUCUAGACAAUGGAUGUCCAUUGUAUUUCUAUUUGAAAAACUGACAUUCCUAUAAAUGUUUAAUGAAUUAAAUCAAAUCUGCAGAUUUAGUUAUAUAUAUUAAUUAAAUAUAUGUCCAACACAGGCAUACCUUGUUUUAUUGCACUUUACAGAUACUGUGUUUUUACAAAUUGAAUUCUGCACUGAGCAAGUCUAUGGGCACCAUUUCUCCAACAGCAUUACGUUUAAUGUACAUGGCUUUUUUAGACUUAUUUCUAUUGCAUACUUAGUAAACUACAGUAGAGUGUUAACAUCACUUUUAUAUGCUCUGGGGAGCCAAAAAAUUCAUGUGACUUGCUGUACUGAAGUGGUCUGGAAGCAAGCUCAUAAUCUCUCUGAGGUAUGCCUGCAUAUAAAAAAUGUAUUUUAAUUAAAUGUAUGUUAUAUUGAUAUUUAAUUAUAUAUAAAUAAAUAAGAAUAG